ensembl:lncRNA
GGGAGGAAUGCUGUUUCCUGACUGAUUCCUGGUGCCCCCUGCCCGGGCUGAUAAGUAAAUUGCAUCAGAGCUAAUGACGAGUUAAAAGAAAUGUACACUGAUUCCAGAUGCGGAAGUGGUGGCAGGCUCAAAGAGGAAGCACAGCACAAAGCCACGGGGUCCCUUCGUGGAGAUGGAGCCGCUCAGAGAGGAAGAAGGAAAAAAACUGUAAAAGCAUACAUCUCCCCAAACCCCUUCUGCCUAAUCCAACUGAAUUAGAGGAUUUUGAAGUGGAUUUAAAACUAAAUCUUGAUUAGGGAGAAUUUCUCUCCAAGAGCUGCUGCACGGUGGUAUUAAUGGGAAGCGACCGCGGACAGAGGAAAUAGGACAGAAAUAACCGAGGGUAGCGCACAGGCGUCUGUGCAUGAACGGAAAGAAUCGGCGGAUUGCUCGGGAGGAAGAGGAGGAAAACAGCCUUCGACGUAACCAGAAUCAGCAGAACAGCGGGCAACGCUCUGCGAGAAGGUUUCUCCUGUGCCAGCGGCAUCUCCCCGCCUUUAUGCUGGCGGAGGGUUUUUGCGGGUGAAAAGCAAGAGGUUUGCAAGGACGGGGAGGAAUCGCUGCGCGCAGAGCCGGGCUCUUCUGCCUGCUCCCCGCGGACCCGCUCCCGCGCUGCCCCGAAGCCGAGCGGGCUCCCGGAGCUGCUCCCAUGCUUGCGGGACGCGCGCCCGGAGGCGCCCAGGGCAUCCUCUCGCUGCUGACGGCGGUGUCCGUCCUCCCGGAGGUGUCCGGACUCCAGUGUUACGGCUGCAACAUCAUCGUUGGCACCAGAUACGUGGACAUGGGCUGCUCUAACCCAGAAGUGGUCACCUGCUCCCGCUCCCACCAGGGCUUCAAGCACCGGUUCUGCCUUAAAACAGAAAGCGCGGUCCUGGGCAUCCCGCUGACCAGCGGCUGCGCCACCUCCCGCCACUGCCAGCAGCAGGAGCUGCCGGGGCUGCGGAUCCACUGCUGCGACACGGACCUGUGCAACGGCUCGCGCGGGGCGCCCCGGCCUCCCCGCGGCCUCGCCGGCCGCUGCCUCCUGCUCGCGCCCCUCCUGGCCGCCCUCCUCCUCUUCUGAGCGGCCCCGGGGCCGGGGGGCUGGCGCGAGCGCGGCGCGGCUCCCCCGCGCCCGGAGAGCCUCCUCCUCGCCCCUCUCCUCGAUCAAAGACGCCGAACCUUUGCGCUGCACAGGCCCCGCUCCCAGCGGCGUCCCCGGGGGUAGGACACGCGUGUCCGUGGCGGCGCGGGGGGCUGCGCAGCUGCGCUGCCCGAUGCCACGUGCGGCCGCUCCAAAGCCACGUGCUGCGGCUUUGCUCUUCCGCAAUGGGGACCCGGCGCCGCUCGGCCCCUCCGGCUGCUCCCUCGCCAAACCCGAGAGGUGCCGAGCCCCCGCGGCCGGACCUGGGGUGCAGCGAGGGCCUGGCGGGUCCCCCAGCGGGUGCCACGGCGGGGACCCAGCUCCUCCGGCCGAGCGAGUCUCUUCCCACGAGAGGGCAUCCUUGGUCCUCGCUGCGCAGCUCCCUCCUGCCCGGCGAGGCGGCAGCAGCCCGCGAGCGGCCGGGACUCCCAGCCGCGGCCUUCGUCCUCCUCCUCAUCCCAGGCGGGCUCGAAGGAGCUGCUGCCGCUUCCCAGCGGCGAAGAGACCACGGUCCGGGCAGCGCUGAGCCCCGGGCGACCCGCGGGCGACGCACCGAGACCGCGGUGUCCUGGGGAGAGGGGAGCUUCCCGGGCUCUGCCCCGAUUUAAGGGCCCGAGCGGGAGCUUUAACGAAGCUCUAAUCACGUACGAAGCUGAUCCUAAGUGGCUUGCUCGAGGUCAUCGUGGGGGUUUGCGGGAGAGCUGGGAAUUAAAUGCAUAUGUCUCAAGAUCCAGCCAUGUGCUUUUAUCACCAGGGAAACAGCAUAAACCUCACUUGCGAG